CCUACGGGCCGCACCAGUGGGGAAUAUUGGACAAUGGGCGAAAGCCUGAUCCAGCAAUGCCGCGUGUGCGAAGAAGGUCUUCGGAUUGUAAAGCACUUUCGACGGGGACGAUGAUGUCGGUACCCGUAGAAGAAGCCCCGGCUAACUUCGUGCCAGCAGCCGCGGUAAUACGAAGGGGGCUAGCGUUGCUCGGAAUGACUGGGCGUAAAGGGCGCGUAGGCGGUUUAUGCAGUCAGAUGUGAAAUCCCCGGGCUUAACCUGGGAACUGCAUUUGAGACGCAUAGACUAGAGGUCGAGAGAGGGUUGUGGAAUUCCCAGUGUAGAGGUGAAAUUCGUAGAUAUUGGGAAGAACACCGGUGGCGAAGGCGGCAACCUGGCUCGAUACUGACGCUGAGGCGCGAAAGCGUGGGGAGCAAACAGGAUUAGAUACCCGCGUAGUC
rnacentral:rRNA from 1 species